ACCCAUGCAGUCGAACGGUGAAGCAGGAGCUUGCUCUUGUGGAUCAGUGGCGAACGGGUGAGUAACACGUGAGCAACCUGCCCCUGACUCUGGGAUAAGCGCUGGAAACGGCGUCUAAUACUGGAUAUGUGACGUGACCGCAUGGUCUGCGUUUGGAAAGAUUUUUCGGUUGGGGAUGGGCUCGCGGCCUAUCAGCUUGUUGGUGAGGUAAUGGCUCACCAAGGCGUCGACGGGUAGCCGGCCUGAGAGGGUGACCGGCCACACUGGGACUGAGACACGGCCCAGACUCCUACGGGAGGCAGCAGUGGGGAAUAUUGCACAAUGGGCGAAAGCCUGAUGCAGCAACGCCGCGUGAGGGAUGACGGCCUUCGGGUUGUAAACCUCUUUUAGCAGGGAAGAAGCGAAAGUGACGGUACCUGCAGAAAAAGCGCCGGCUAACUACGUGCCAGCAGCCGCGGUAAUACGUAGGGCGCAAGCGUUAUCCGGAAUUAUUGGGCGUAAAGAGCUCGUAGGCGGUUUGUCGCGUCUGCUGUGAAAUCCCGAGGCUCAACCUCGGGCCUGCAGUGGGUACGGGCAGACUAGAGUGCGGUAGGGGAGAUUGGAAUUCCUGGUGUAGCGGUGGAAUGCGCAGAUAUCAGGAGGAACACCGAUGGCGAAGGCAGAUCUCUGGGCCGUAACUGACGCUGAGGAGCGAAAGGGUGGGGAGCAAACAGGCUUAGAUACCCUGGUAGUCCACCCCGUAAACGUUGGGAACU
rnacentral:rRNA from 1 species